UACGUAGGGGCCAAGCGUUGUCCGGAUUUAUUGGGCGUAAAGAGCUCGUAGGCGGUUUGGAUAGUCGGGUGUGAAAUCUCGGAGCUUAACUCCGAAACUGCAUUCGAUACUGCCGUGCUUGAGGACUGGAGAGGAGACUGGAAUUUACGGUGUAGCGGUGAAAUGCGUAGAUAUCGUAAGGAAGACCAGUGGCGAAGGCGGGUCUCUGGACAGUUCCUGACGCUGAGGCACGAAGGCCAGGGGAGCAAACGGG
rnacentral:rRNA from 1 species